rnacentral:piRNA from 1 species
UACUCAGAUGAUUCCAUGGUAACUUCAAAUC